GCUGGAUGUGGUGGCUCAUACCUGUAAUCCCAGCAUCUUGGGAGGCCGAGGCAGGAGGAUUGCUUGAGCUCAGGAGUUCCAGAUUAGCCUGGGCAACAUAGUAAGACCCUGUCUCUA
ensembl:misc_RNA Metazoa_SRP Metazoan signal recognition particle RNA